UGACGGUAUCUUACCAGAAAGGGACGGCUAACUACGUGCCAGCAGCCGCGGUAAUACGUAGGUCCCGAGCGUUGUCCGGAUUUAUUGGGCGUAAAGCGAGCGCAGGCGGUUUGAUAAGUCUGAAGUAAAAGGCUGUGGCUUAACCAUAGUACGCUUUGGAAACUGUCAAACUUGAGUGCAGAAGGGGAGAGUGGAAUUCCAUGUGUAGCGGUGAAAUGCGUAGAUAUAUGGAGGAACACCGGUGGCGAAAGCGGCUCUCUGGUCUGUAACUGACGCUGAGGCUCGAAAGCGUGGGGAGCGAACAGGAUUAGAUACCCUGGUAGUCCACGCCGUAAACGAUGAGUGCUAGGUGUUGGGUCCUUUCCGGGACUCAGUGCCGCAGCUAACGCAUUAAGCACUCCGCCUGGGGAGUACGACCGCAAGGUUGAAACUCAAAGGAAUUGACGGGGGCCCGCACAAGCGGUGGAGCAUGUGGUUUAAUUCGAAGCAACGCGAAGAACCUUACCAGGUCUUGACAUCCC
rnacentral:rRNA from 1 species